rnacentral:rRNA from 1 species
GACGAACGCUGGCGGCGUGCCUAAUACAUGCAAGUCGAGCGAGCGGAACUAACAGAUUUACUUCGGUAAUGACGUUAGGAAAGCGAGCGGCGGAUGGGUGAGUAACACGUGGGGAACCUGCCCCAUAGUCUGGGAUACCACUUGGAAACAGGUGCUAAUACCGGAUAAGAAAGCAGAUCGCAUGAUCAGCUUUUAAAAGGCGGCGUAAGCUGUCGCUAUGGGAUGGCCCCGCGGUGCAUUAGCUAGUUGGUAAGGUAAAGGCUUACCAAGGCGAUGAUGCAUAGCCGAGUUGAGAGACUGAUCGGCCACAUUGGGACUGAGACACGGCCCAAACUCCUACGGGAGGCAGCAGUAGGGAAUCUUCCACAAUGGACGCAAGUCUGAUGGAGCAACGCCGCGUGAGUGAAGAAGGUUUUCGGAUCGUAAAGCUCUGUUGUUGGUGAAGAAGGAUAGAGGUAGUAACUGGCCUUUAUUUGACGGUAAUCAACUAGAAAGUCACGGCUAACUACGUGCCAGCAGCCGCGGUAAUACGUAGGUGGCAAGCGUUGUCCGGAUUUAUUGGGCGUAAAGCGAGCGCAGGCGGAAGAAUAAGUCUGAUGUGAAAGCCCUCGGCUUAACCGAGGAACUGCAUCGGAAACUGUUUUUCUUGAGUGCAGAAGAGGAGAGUGGAACUCCAUGUGUAGCGGUGGAAUGCGUAGAUAUAUGGAAGAACACCAGUGNCGAAGGCGGCUCUCUGGUCUGCAACUGACGCUGAGGCUCGAAAGCAUGGGUAGCGAACAGG